UACGUAGGUCCCGAGCGUUGUCCGGGUUUAUUGGGCGUAAAGCGAGCGCAGGUGGUUUAUUAAGUCUGGUGUAAAAGGCAGUGGCUCAACCAUUGUAUGCAUUGGAAACUGGUAGACUUGAGUGCAGGAGAGGAGAGUGGAAUUCCAUGUGUAGCGGUGAAAUGCGUAGAUAUAUGGAGGAACACCGGUGGCGGAAGCGGCUCUCUGGCCUGUAACUGACACUGAGGCUCGAAAGCGUGGGGAGCAAACAGG
rnacentral:rRNA from 1 species